rnacentral:rRNA from 1 species
GUGUCAGCAGCCGCGGUAAUACAGAGGGUGCGAGCGUUAAUCGGAAUUACUGGGCGUAAAGGGCGCGUAGGCGGUUAUGUAAGUGAGAUGUGAAAGACCUGGGCUUAACCUAGGAAAGUCAUCUUAUACUGCAUAACUGGAGUACUGUAGAGGGUAGUGGAAUUUCCGGUGUAGCGGUGAAAUGCGUAGAGAUCGGAAGGAACACCAGUGGCGAAGGCGGCUACCUGGGCAGAUACUGACGCUGAGGCGCGAAAGCGUGGGGAGCAAACAGGAUUAGAUACCCUUGUAGUCC